GACGGGUGAGUAACGCGUGAGAAUCUGCCUUCAGGACGGGGACAACAGCUGGAAACGGUUGCUAAAACCCGAUGUGCCUACGGGUGAAAUAUUUAUAGCCUGAAGAGGAGCUCGCGUCUGAUUAGCUAGUUGGUUGGGUAAUGGCUGACCAAGGCGACGAUCAGUAACUGGUCUGAGAGGAUGACCAGUCACACUGGGACUGAGACACGGCCCAGACUCCUACGGAAGGCAGCGGUGGGGAAUUUUCCGCAAUGGGCGCAAGCCUGACGGAGCAAUACCGCGUGAGGGAGGAAGGCUCUUGGGUCGUAAACCUCUUUUAUCAGGGAAGAACACAAUGACGGUACCUGAUGAAUCAGCAUCGGCUAACUCCGUGCCAGCAGCCGCGGUAAUACGGAGGAUGCAAGCGUUAUCCGGAAUUAUUGGGCGUAAAGCGUCCGCAGGUGGUUUUGGUAGUCUGCUGUCAAAGCGCGAGGCUCAACUUCGUAUCGGCGGUGGAAACUCCAAGACUAGAGUUUGGUAGGGGUCACGGGAAUUCCCAGUGUAGCGGUGAAAUGCGUAGAUAUUGGGAAGAACACCAGCGGCGAAAGCGCGUGACUGGGCCUGAACUGACACUCAUGGACGAAAGCUAGGGGAGCGAAAGGGAUUAGAUACCCCUGUAGUCCUAGCCGUAAACGAUGACAACUAGGUGUUGCCCGUAUCGACCCGGGCAGUGCCGUAGCCAACGCGUUAAGUUGUCCGCCUGGGGAGUACGCACGCAAGUGUGAAACUCAAAGGAAUUGACGGGGGCCCGCACAAGCGGUGGAGUAUGUGGUUUAAUUCGAUGCAACGCGAAGAACCUUACCAAGGCUUGACAUGUCGCGAACCUUCUUGAAAGGGAAGGGUGCCUUCGGGAGCGCGAACACAGGUGGUGCAUGGCUGUCGUCAGCUCGUGUCGUGAGAUGUUGGGUUAAGUCCCGCAACGAGCGCACCC
rnacentral:rRNA from 1 species